UGAGUUGGUUAGACAAUCGCUGGUUUAUUGAAGCCCUUAACCGUUGCAAAACGACCUAGUGGGACAAGUAAACGAGAGGAAAGUCCGAGCUACAAAGGGCAGAGUGCCAGAUAACGUCUGGGAGGCGUGAGCCUACGACUAGUGCAACAGAGAGCAGACCGCCAGUUUCGGCUGGUAAGGGUGAAAGGGUGCGGUAAGAGCGCACCGCGUGAGUGGUAACAUUUCACGGCACGGUAAACUCCACUCGUAGCAAGACCAAAUAGGAAUCCAACGAGUUGCCCGCUUGGGAUUCGGGUAGGUUGCUUGAGCGUAUGUGUGAAUGUACGCCUAGAGGAAUGAUUGUCCACGACAGAACUCGGCUUAUCGACCGACUCAGCCU
rnacentral:RNase_P_RNA from 2 species